CCGUGUGCGUAAGUGCCUGCAUGUAUAUGCGUGUAUAUUUUAUGCAUAUACAUACACACACCAACACACACAU
rnacentral:pre_miRNA from 1 species